UGAUGCUUAGUGCAGUUGUCUAGCACGUCAGCUCACACGGCUAGGAGGCCUGGGUUUGACUCCUAGAGCAGCCA